rnacentral:rRNA from 1 species
AGUGGGGAAUUUUCCGCAAUGGGCGCAAGCCUGACGGAGCAACGCCGCGUGGGUGACGAAGGAUUUCGGUCUGUAAAGCCCUUUCAGUCGGGACGAGUCGCAGACGGUACCGACAGAAGAAGCAUCGGCUAACUACGUGCCAGCAGCCGCGGUAAGACGUAGGAUGCGAGCGUUGUCCGGAAUUAUUGGGCGUAAAGCGUACGUAGGCGGUCAUCUAAGUCUGGGGUUAAAGACCAAGGCUCAACCUUGGGAGUGCCCUGGAUACUGGGUGACUGGAGGACGGCAGAGGAAAGUGGAAUUCCCAGUGUAGCGGUGAAAUGCGUAGAUAUUGGGAGGAACACCAGUGGCGAAAGCGACUUUCUGGGCCGUUCCUGACGCUGAGGUACGAAAGCCAGGGGAGCAAACGGGAUUAGAUACCCCGGUAGUCCUGGCCGUAAACGAUGGAUACUAGGUGUCAUCGGUAUCAACCCCGGUGGUGCCGUAGCUAACGCGUUAAGUAUCCCGCCUGGGGAGUACGGUCGCAAGGCUGAAACUCAAU